rnacentral:rRNA from 1 species
GACGAACGCUGGCGGCGUGCUUAACACAUGCAAGUCGAACGGAAAGGCCCUGCUUUUGUGGGGUGCUCGAGUGGCGAACGGGUGAGCAACACGUGAGUAACCUGCCCUUGACUUUGGGAUAACUUCAGGAAACUGAGGCUAAUACCGGAUAGGAGCUCCUGCUGCAUGGUGGGGGUUGGAAAGUUUCGGCGGUUGGGGAUGGACUCGCGGCUUAUCAGCUUGUUGGUGGGGUAGUGGCUUACCAGGGCUUUGACGGGUAGCCGGCCUGAGAGGGUGACCGGCCACAUUGGGACUGAGAUACGGCCCAGACUCCUACGGGAGGCAGCAGUGGGGAAUAUUGCACAAUGGGCGGAAGCCUGAUGCAGCAACGCCGCGUGCGGGAUGACGGCCUUCGGGUUGUAAACCGCUUUCGCCUGUGACGAAGCGUGAGUGACGGUAAUGGGUAAAGAAGCACCGGCUAACUACGUG